rnacentral:misc_RNA from 1 species
CCCGCGGGGACUAAAUUAGUCCCAUACCCGUCCCCUAAUAGGGGAAUUCCCCGCGAGGAAUCGGAGAUCGGGUCCCCAUUGCCAUCUCUACUCCCGCCGCGCCCCUCGGCAUCUCAACUACCUCGUGAUGCCUCCCCCACCCCCGAUCUAUAAACCAGCCGCUCGCCACUCCUCCCGUAUGCUCACCUCGACGUCCACGAUCUGCUUCUCCCCCGCGCCCCUCGGCAAGCUCGCAGUCCAGGAUCCGCCUCUCGCGCGCCCCCGCCGACGCACACAGCUCGCAGACGGCGCCCCCCAUAUCCACUUCUUGCUGGCCGCUCAGAUCCUCUGUAUCCCUCCUCUUGCUGCAGAUGAUAUGCUAGAGCGUCAGCAAGGCGGACUCUCCAUCCCUCCAGAGAGGGAGGGAGGCAGCAGCCAAUGCCCAGCACGUACCAAUCUGCGUGACAGGAGGUGUCCGGACUGCGUACCCACGGGCGAGCAGGAUUUUGACGAUCCACGACCCGAUGAAGUCGCCGGCGUCGGUGACGCACAAGGCGGCGGUGGCCAUCGUGCGCUGACGCCCAGUCCCUUCUUCCUCUCGGGGCGGUGGUGCCGCCAGGCGAAUGGAUUCGUCCGAGAGCGAGCAAAUAGGGGUAAGCAUUUAUCAAGCGGAAGUGGGAAGAAAUGGUACAGUGUAGUGGAGGAAAUGACACAGGACACAAGCGGAAGCUGGCAUCUCAAGGCGGUCGCACUCGCACAGUUAGCAAUGCACUCCCCUAAUUUCUGCCCUUUUAUGGUUUCACGAUUAUCUGAAUAUGGAGUUCAAGGAUUGAUCUUUUCUGAGUUCUUUGUUGCCAUAUUUUCUGUCCAUGUAAUAAGGUUGUGGCUAAAAUAUUGUGUCAAUCGGGCUUGUGUGUUGCAGUUCUAUUCUUGCGUAGUGCAGCUCCGAAGUCGCUGCUACCAGGUGCCCCCGUGCCUAUCAAGUAUCAACACUGCUUAUCAACGGGCUAUACCCUUGUAUGGUGGACAUUCACGAAGAGCAAGCUCCAGCACCGUUGCUGUUCUGGUCUCGACCGUGGAGAUGGAACUAUGAUUAAAAGAAAAGAGAACACUACGGAAGGAACCUACUGAUGCUCAGUGUACUGCGACUUUCCCACGAUGCUCAUGAUGUCGAAGUCUGCAGUUGCUAGACUGGCCCGAGUAAUUGCUAAGUUUUGUAGAAAAUGUUUAGGCCCAUUUUUGAACGCAUGAAUUUCGUAUAGACUGUAUUUCACACGAAAUACACAGGAACAAACAUUUUUCCUGCCUUCCAAACAGGCUGUUAGGAUUAGUUGAAGUUCCAGUUUGAUCAUAGGCACCUAGGUCGAUGCUCUUUAGUAAGAUGUAAGUAAUCUGUCUUCUGGCCAGGUUGAGCAAGGCUUAGCUGCAGUGUAUCAGUGUGGUACAACUGAUGUAUUUAUACUGUACAACCUAAUGAGACUGUAUGGAUUAGAGCUAUAAGAACCUGCACAGAUAUUUCAC